CUACUCUUCAUUACUUUGAAAGUAUUUGUCAACACUGCUGGAAAAAAAUGAUCAAUGCUAUUUCUCUCUUUCUUUUAGAUUGAUUUUGAGGUAACAAGAUGACAGAGUUUCAAAGAAACAUAAAUGGGGACUCCAGUUGAAUAUAUAGGAUAUUUUCAUUCUAUCUGCCAUGUGUUAUAUGCCUGAUUCUAUGAAUUCAUCUUUUAUUUCUGUAUUCAUUUUAUAUUCUACAUUUUGCACCUGCCAAUUCCACUGUCUUGAGAGUUUGAGUAAGAUUGUUUCCUUGAGGCAAGAAAGAAAAGCAGAGGUCCUGACAAAUAAGAGGUAGCCUUAGGGGAAAGGAGCUACAGUAAACACUUAGAACUUCUUCCCUGAACUCAAUGACAACCUUUGAAAG
rnacentral:lncRNA from 1 species